GAGGCUCCCCGCAUACCUCAGGGUGUUAAGCAAACCAAGGUGUGCAUGGACCUGCAGA
ensembl:miRNA mdo-mir-12391 mdo-mir-12391